UACGUAGGGUGCGAGCGUUAAUCGGAAUUACUGGGCGUAAAGAGCGCGCAGGCGGCUGGUCAAGUCCGAUGUGAAAUCUCCCGGCUCAACUGGGAAACUGCAUCGGAAACUGAUCGGCUUGAAGAUGGGAGAGGGUAGUGGAAUUCUCGGUGUAGAGGUGAAAUUCGUAGAUAUCGAGAGGAACACCGGUGGCGAAGGCGGCCAACUGGACGAGUACUGACGCUGAGACACGAAAGCGUGGGGAGCAAACAGG
rnacentral:rRNA from 1 species